UGUUUGCACUUAUCGGGAAGGGUGAGAAUCUUCGACCAAGGUUCGAGUCGAGCAAAAGCGAGACAACGUUGCCGCAGGCAACGGCCCGAAGGGUGAGGAGCGAAGCGACGAAUAAUCCUUCCCCCACCACCA
rnacentral:sRNA from 1 species